CGCAAGCCUGACGGAGCAACGCCGCGUGUGGGAAGAAGGCUCUUGGGCUGUCAACCACUUUUCUCAGGGAAGAAGCACUGACGGUACCUGAGGAAUCAGCCUCGGCUAACUCCGUGCCAGCAGCCGCGGUAAUACGGAGGAGGCAAGCGUUAUCCGGAAUUAUUGGGCGUAAAGCGUCCGCAGGGGGCACAUCAAGUCUGCUGUUAAAGGCUGGAGCUUAACUCCGGUAGAGCAGUGGAAACUGGUGUGCUAGAGGGCGACAGGGGUAGAGGGAAUUCCCAGUGUAGCGGUGAAAUGCGUAGAGAUUGGGAAGAACACCGGUGGCGAAAGCGCUCUACUGGGUCGCACCUGACCCUCAGGGACGAAAGCUAAGGUAGCG
rnacentral:rRNA from 1 species